AAUAGAAAUUUAGAUAUAUCACAUAUAGAAUAAGAUCAUAUAGUAAACACAAAAAGAAAAUAUUUUUUACAAUUUCAUGGCAACUUAUCAUCGUGAUAGAAAAUCUACAUCAUGGGUUCGAACAAUCACUUCUCCAUUUAGAAAAGCUCGAACUUUAUUCAAUCAAGAAUCAUCGAGGGAUAAGAAGUCACAUCAAGAAGGGCCGGAGAACCAUAUGGUAAAUUUGCAAGUGGAAGUAAUGGCUUGUUCAUAUGAUGAUGUUCAAGUGAUGUGGUCAAUUUUAGACAAGUCAAACACAAGAACUUGAACUUUUUUUUUGUUGUUGUUGGACAAUAUAUCAAGUAUCAAGAAUCAAGCAAUUUAUGUACAUAGUUGCUAGUGUCUUGAAAGGGAGCUUGCUAACAACGAUAAAUUUGUUUCCGUGUGAUUUAUACGUCAAGGGUUCAAGCCGUGCAAGUUGAUACGACCCUUUUUCUGAAUUUUCUGUAAAACGGGAUGUUCUGUGUACCGAACUGUCUGUUUUUUUUUUUAGUUGCUAAUUGUCUCGUGGAUGUGGUGUGGCUAUACUCUUUGACACCCAAAAGCAAGAUUUGGUAAAAUUUGUUAAUGCUUCUUAGUUUGGUUAGGUAGAAAAAACAAGUGACAAAUUGGUUGUUAUUCAAGUUAUUAACUUGUUUUUUAUGCCAAUUUGUUCAAUCCCUAUGAUCAAUAAAUAUCAUGGAGAGAUUUCAAUUGUAUUUGGAUUUGUAUUGUAAUUUUACAAUUAAAGGGUUGUUUUGAUUCACAAACAAAUUAUGCAAUAAUUGUUUAUGUGAUGAAAUAUCAAUGAUAUGGUUAUUAUGAUGUGGUCAAA